GAUGAACGCUGGCGGCGUGCCUAAUACAUGCAAGUCGAGCGAACAGACGAGGAGCUUGCUCCUCUGACGUUAGCGGCGGACGGGUGAGUAACACGUGGAUAACCUACCUAUCAGACUGGGAUAACUUCGGGAAACCGGAGCUAAUACCGGAUAAUAUAUUGAACCGCAUGGUUCAAUAGUGAAAGACGGUUUUGCUGUCACUUAUAGAUGGAUCCGCGCCGCAUUAGCUAGUUGGUAAGGUAACGGCUUACCAAGGCGACGAUGCGUAGCCGACCUGAUAGGGUGGUCGGCCACACUGGAACUGAGACACGGUCCAGACUCCUACGGGAGGCAGCAGUAGGGAAUCGUCCGCAAUGGGCGAAAGCCUGACGGAGCAACGCCGCGUGAGUUAUGAAGGUCUUCGGAUCGUAAAACUCUGUUAUUAGGGAAGAACAAAUGUGUAAGUAACUAUGCACGUCUUGACGGUACCUAAUCAGAAAGCCACGGCUAACUACGUG
rnacentral:rRNA from 1 species